rnacentral:rRNA from 1 species
UACGAAGGGGGCUAGCGUUGUUCGGAUUUACUGGGCGUAAAGCGCACGUAGGCGGAUUGUUAAGUCGGGGGUGAAAUCCUGGAGCUCAACUCCAGAACUGCCUUCGAUACUGGCAAUCUCGAGUCCGGAAGAGGUAAGUGGAACUCCUAGUGUAGAGGUGGAAUUCGUAGAUAUUAGGAAGAGCACCAGUGGCGAAGGCGGCUUACUGGUCCGGUACUGACGCUGAGGUGCGAAAGCGUGGGGAGCAAACAGG